rnacentral:rRNA from 1 species
UACGUAGGUGGCGAGCGUUGUCCGGAUUUACUGGGCGUAAAGGGCUCGUAGGCGGCCAACUAAGUCGGAUGUGAAAUCCCUCGGCUUAACCGGGGAACUGCGUCUGAUACUGGAUGGCUUGAGUUUGGGAGAGGGAUGCGGAAUUCCAGGUGUAGCGGUGAAAUGCGUAGAUAUCUGGAGGAACACCGGUGGCGAAGGCGGCAUCCUGGACCAACACUGACACUGAUGAGCGAAAGCCAGGGGAGCAAACGGG